GCCAAGCCGCGAGGUGGAGCUAAUCUCACAAAACCGAUCGUAGUNCGGAUCGCAGUCUGCAACUCGACNGCGUGAAGUCGGAAUCGCUNGUAAUCGCGAAUCANAAUGUCGCGGUGAAUACGUUCCCGGGCCUUGUACACACCGCCCGUCACACCAUGGGAGUGGGUUGCACCAGAAGUAGCUAGU
rnacentral:rRNA from 1 species